ACUAUGCACAUGUACCACACCGUGAUACAGUAUGUCAGCAGGCUCUCGACGGACGAGCGGUAGAAGGUCAGCAGCAGAUCGGGGUCCAGAUUGUACUUCCUGAGAACCCUCAGGAAGUGCAGCCGCGUUUGAGCCUUCUUGAUAACCGCUGUGAUGUUGUCCGUCCAGGAGAUGUCUGCAGAGAUAAGGACACCAAGAAACCGGAAGAGAAAGUUCACCAAGACAAGCGAGUGGACAGAGCAGUUGGGGUGUGUAAGAAGGUGGUGGCUGCCUUCUCCUACUCCUGGAAGAAGCAACGGGACCUUGCAGCUGCUCAGGAGGAGUAUCACUUGCCACAGCACAAGCUCAGCAGUGAAACCCCAACAAGAUGGGGCUCCCGUCAACAAAUGGUGAGGCGGGUUCUGGAGCAGAAAAGGGCCAUCACAGACGUCCUCUCAAAAGACAAGAAGACCAGGUCGCUGGUUCCUACUUGGCAAGAUGUGGACGUUUUAGAGUCUAUAGAUGCGGCUCUAAGCCCGCUCCUCGAAUUCACCGAUGCCUUGUCCGACAGCUCGGUGAUUAUUUCUGAUGAUGAGAUUCCCGAAACAACCGCUCACCACCUUUUGAAUCUGAGCUCCACAC